rnacentral:rRNA from 1 species
GUCAGGUGAAAAACCCCGGGUCUACACCGGGGAACCGCUUUUGAUAGUGGGGCUCGAGAGUGGGAGAGAGGAGAGGAGUAUUCCGUGUGGAGGGGAGAAGUGUGUAGAUAUGGGGGAAAACCCCUGUGGAGGGGGCGGCUCUGGGGCCUUAUAGACACUGAGGGGCGAGAGAGUGGGGGGCAAACACGGUUUGAUACCCCGGGGUCUCCGCCCUAAAAGAUGAGUGCUUGGUGUGGUUGUAUUAUCCCUUCAGUGCCGCAGCUAACGCAUAAGCAUCCGCCUGG